rnacentral:rRNA from 1 species
GAUGAACGCUGGCGGCGUGCUUAACACAUGCAAGUCGAACGGAAAGGCCCUGCGUUUGUUUGGUGCUCGAGUGGCGAACGCGUGAGUAACAUGUGUGUAACCUGCCCCUGACUUUGGGAUAACUUCAGGAAACUGGGGCUAAUACCGGAUAGGAGCUCCUGCUGCAUGGGGGGGGUUGGUAAGAUUCGGCGGUUGGGGAUGGACUCGCGGCUUAUCAGCUUGUUGGUGUGGUAGUGGCUUACCAAGGCUUUGACGGGUAGCCGGCCUGAGAGGCUGACCGGCCACAUUGGUACUGAGGUACGGCGCAGACGCCUACGGGAGGCAGCAGUGGGGAAUAUUGCACAAUGAGGGGAAGCCUGAUGCAGCAACGCCGCGUGCGGGAUGCCGGCCUUCGGGGUAUAAACCGAUUUCGCCGGUGACGAAGCGUGAGUGACGGUAAUGGGUAAGAAAGCACCGGCUAACUACGUG